CAGAUUUUCUGUGAAUUGUUUUUUUAAUUUUCUGAUGUUUGACAAAAAAAUUCUUUUGAAAAAAUCAAAAUUCAUUCGAAAAUAAAGUGCUAAGAAAACACUUAAAAGCUACAAUAAAUUGGAAGCACUUGAAGGUUGAUUCCAACUGUUGUUCUUAAAAAUCCUCUAGUCGUGGAUGAAGUACCCAAACUCAAAAUGUUUAAAGGAUUUUCUAUUAAUUAAGCUGCUCAGAUUUUGGGUAUAAAAUUCUUUCAUACUUCUCCAUUAAUUGUUCUGCUGGUGAGCGAGAGAGGACAACAACGUGAAUAAUCCUAAGAGAGUUUUGAUAUGGUGUUUCAACGUAGCAAUGUACCCCUUUUCCGGAUUGUUGAGUCUAUUCGCCUAUUCGAGUGUCAUAUCGCGAGCAGUGGAACCUAAAGAUUACUUAGUUCAGCAAGAAAGGGUCACACCAGUAUACGUAAGCGCAGCUUCCAUUAAUCGCUUCAAAAGGACAGACCGGACGAUGUAACCAAAAAUACAACUACGAGUUGUUUUUCCUUUGUUAAAAGAAACAUUAAACUGCAACUACAUGCUUUUUAAUUGCAACAAUUUAAUGUUAAGAGUCUGUCCUUUCUGUAUAACAGAAUUGAUGUCUGUUACAUGACUUGUCCGUUACAUCUUUUACGUAUAUUUGUGUAUCCGUAUUUUCUGUUUAUCAGAAACUUUCUUACGAAA